UUGAAGAGUUUGAUCAUGGCUCAGAUUGAACGCUGGCGGCAGGCCUAACACAUGCAAGUCGAGCGGUAGCACAGAGAGCUUGCUCUCGGGUGACGAGCGGCGGACGGGUGAGUAAUGUCUGGGAAACUGCCUGAUGGAGGGGGAUAACUACUGGAAACGGUAGCUAAUACCGCAUAAUGUCGCAAGACCAAAGUGGGGGACCUUCGGGCCUCAUGCCAUCAGAUGUGCCCAGAUGGGAUUAGCUGGUAGGUGGGGUAACGGCUCACCUAGGCGACGAUCCCUAGCUGGUCUGAGAGGAUGACCAGCCACACUGGAACUGAGACACGGUCCAGACUCCUACGGGAGGCAGCAGUGGGGAAUAUUGCACAAUGGGCGCAAGCCUGAUGCAGCCAUGCCGCGUGUGUGAAGAAGGCCUUCGGGUUGUAAAGCACUUUCAGCGGGGAGGAAGGCGGUGAGGUUAAUAACCUCAUCGAUUGACGUUACCCGCAGAAGAAGCACCGGCUAACUCCGUGCCAGCAGCCGCGGUAAUACGGAGGGUGCAAGCGUUAAUCGGAAUUACUGGGCGUAAAGCGCACGCAGGCGGUCUGUCAAGUCGGAUGUGAAAUCCCCGGGCUCAACCUGGGAACUGCAUUCGAAACUGGCAGGCUAGAGUCUUGUAGAGGGGGGUAGAAUUCCAGGUGUAGCGGUGAAAUGCGUAGAGAUCUGGAGGAAUACCGGUGGCGAAGGCGGCCCCCUGGACAAAGACUGACGCUCAGGUGCGAAAGCGUGGGGAGCAAACAGGAUUAGAUACCCUGGUAGUCCACGCUGUAAACGAUGUCGAUUUGGAGGUUGUGCCCUUGAGGCGUGGCUUCCGGAGCUAACGCGUUAAAUCGACCGCCUGGGGAGUACGGCCGCAAGGUUAAAACUCAAAUGAAUUGACGGGGGCCCGCACAAGCGGUGGAGCAUGUGGUUUAAUUCGAUGCAACGCGAAGAACCUUACCUGGUCUUGACAUCCACAGAACUUUCCAGAGAUGGAUUGGUGCCUUCGGGAACUGUGAGACAGGUGCUGCAUGGCUGUCGUCAGCUCGUGUUGUGAAAUGUUGGGUUAAGUCCCGCAACGAGCGCAACCCUUAUCCUUUGUUGCCAGCGGUCCGGCCGGGAACUCAAAGGAGACUGCCAGUGAUAAACUGGAGGAAGGUGGGGAUGACGUCAAGUCAUCAUGGCCCUUACGACCAGGGCUACACACGUGCUACAAUGGCAUAUACAAAGAGAAGCGACCUCGCGAGAGCAAGCGGACCUCAUAAAGUAUGUCGUAGUCCGGAUUGGAGUCUGCAACUCGACUCCAUGAAGUCGGAAUCGCUAGUAAUCGUAGAUCAGAAUGCUACGGUGAAUACGUUCCCGGGCCUUGUACACACCGCCCGUCACACCAUGGGAGUGGGUUGCAAAAGAAGUAGGUAGCUUAACCUUCGGGAGGGCGCUUACCACUUUGUGAUUCAUGACUGGGGUGAAGUCGUAACAAGGUAACCGUAGGGGAACCUGCGGUUGGAUCACCUCCUU
rnacentral:rRNA from 1 species